CAACUUUCAGCAACGGAUCUCUUGGCUCUCGCAUCGAUGAAGAACGCAGCGAAAUGCGAUAAGUAAUGUGAAUUGCAGAAUUCAGUGAAUCAUCGAAUCUUUGAACGCACCUUGCGCUCUCUCGUACCCGGAGAGCAUGCCUGUUUGAGUGUCAUGG
rnacentral:rRNA from 1 species